UGCUAACGUCCGUCGUGAAGAGGGAAACAACCCAGACCGCCAGCUAAGGUCCCAAAGUCAUGGUUAAGUGGGAAACGAUGUGGGAAGGCCCAGACAGCCAGGAUGUUGGCUUAGAAGCAGCCAUCAUUUAAAGAAAGCGUAAUAGCUCACUGGUCGAGUCGGCCUGCGCGGAAGAUGUAACGGGGCUAAACCAUGCACCGAAGCUGCGGCAGCGACACUCAGGUGUUGUUGGGUAGGGGAGCGUUCUGUAAGCCUGCGAAGGUGGCCUGUGAGGGUUGCUGGAGGUAUCAGAAGUGCGAAUGCUGACAUAAGUAACGAUAAAGCGGGUGAAAAGCCCGCUCGCCGGAAGACCAAGGGUUCCUGUCCAACGUUAAUCGGGGCAGGGUGAGUCGACCCCUAAGGCGAGGCCGAAAGGCGUAGUCGAUGGGAAACGGGUUAAUAUUCCCGUACUUGGUGUUACUGCGAAGGGGGGACGGAGAAGGCUAUGUUGGCCGGGCGACGGUUGUCCCGGUUUAAGCGUGUAGGUGUGUGUUCCAGGUAAAUCCGGUU
rnacentral:rRNA from 1 species